CCUACGGGAGGCAGCAGUGGGGAAUAUUGGACAAUGGGCGCAAGCCUGAUCCAGCAAUACCGCGUGAGUGAUGAAGGUCUUCGGAUUGUAAAGCUCUUUUAGUGGAGAAGAUACUGACGGUAUCCACAGAAAAAGCACCGGCAAACUUCGUGCCAGCAGCCGCGGUAAUACGAAGGGUGCUAGCGUUGUUCGGAAUCAUUGGGCGUAAAGCGUACGUAGGCGGUUUAGUAAGUCGAUUGUGAAAUACCCGAGCUCAACUUGGGAAUUGCAAUCGAAACUGCUUUGCUAGAGUUUAGUGGGGGAUAGUGGAAUUCCUAGUGUAGGGGUGAAAUCCGUAGAUAUUAGGAGGAACAUCAGUGGCGAAGGCGACUAUCUACGCUAAUACUGACGCUAAGGUACGAAAGCGUGGGGAGCAAACAGGAUUAGAUACCCUGGUAGUCCACGCAGUAAACGAUGAGUGCUAGUUGUCGGGGUCUUAGACUUCGGUGGCGAAGCUAACGCGUUAAGCACUCCGCCUGGGGACUACGGUCGCAAGCUAAAACUCAAAGGAAUUGACGGCUGAAGCGNGCGAGCGACGACGAGGAGAG
rnacentral:rRNA from 1 species